rnacentral:lncRNA from 1 species
AAUUCAUCACACAGGCCAAUUCACUCCAAACUACACGUCCAAACCAUCUCAUAUUCAUUUCAGAUUGCAUUUGCACCAAGUUUUGGGCCUCACAUGCGCCUGUACAGGCCCAUACAUGGAGGACCCAAUUCACAUGCACACGAGUUUGAUCAUGCAUUGCAUCAGCUCUUGCUAUAAAUACACUUGCUUGCUUCACUUGAAAGAACCCUGGAAUCAACCUGAAUUGCUGCAGAAAUC